GACAGAGGGGGCAAGCGUUGCUCGGAAUUACUGGGCGUAAAGGGCGCGUAGGCGGGAUGGCAAGUCGGUCGUGAAAUCCCUCGGCUCAACUGAGGAGCGUCGAUCGAAACUGCCGUUCUUGAGGGUUGCAGAGGAGACUGGAAUUCCCGGUGUAGCGGUGAAAUGUGUAGAGAUCGGGAGGAACACCGGUGGCGAAGGCGGGUCUCUGGGCAACGCCUGACGCUGAGGCGCGAAAGCGUGGGGAGCAAACGGG
rnacentral:rRNA from 1 species